GACGAACGCUGGCGGCGUGCCUAAUACAUGCAAGUUGAGCGCUGAAGGUUGGUACUUGUACCAACUGGAUGAGCAGCGAACGGGUGAGUAACGCGUGGGGAAUCUGCCUUUGAGCGGGGGACAACAUUUGGAAACGAAUGCUAAUACCGCAUAAAAACUUUAAACACAAGUUUUAAGUUUGAAAGAUGCAAUUGCAUCACUCAAAGAUGAUCCCGCGUUGUAUUAGCUAGUUGGGGAGGGAAAGGCUCACCAAGGCGAUGAUACAUAGCCGACCUGAGAGGGUGGUCGGCCACAUUGGGACUGAGACACGGCCCAAACUCCUACGGGAGGCAGCAGGAGGGAAACUUCGGCAAUGGACGAAAGUCUGACCGAGCAACGCCGCGGGAGGGAAGAAGGGUUUCGGAUCGUAAAACUCGGUUGGUAGAGAAGAACGUUGGUGAGAGUGGAAAGCUCAUCAAGUGACGGUAACUACACAGAAAGGGACGGCUAACUACGUG
rnacentral:rRNA from 1 species